ensembl:lncRNA
AGGUUGGGGCGCUGCCAGCACGGCAGGAGGUCGGGGCCAGACAGCCAAUUCGAGGACAAGGAUGGCUCUGCAGAGCCUCUUCGAGCCCCCCCAAUCCCCCAGUGCCCCGUCCAGAGUCCAUUGCGGCAGGCCUGGAGGGUGCCAGCGCAAGGGGCGCCCCUCUUCAGGGAACGAAAUGUGUGCUAUGCCAGCCCCCCUCGCUGUCCUUAAGCUGCGCCUGCCACCAUGCUAUUUGUGGCAACGACAGAGCGUGCGCUAGGAGGACCUAGCCCAGGAAGGAAACUUCAAACACGCAUCCCAAUUACGCAGGGGAGCUGGAACCCAGGCCCUACUUGGCCCUUUCACAAGCUUCUCUUAAACUCACGCUUGCUAAAUAACCCUGUAACUGUGGCGAACUUUGCCCCACCCUCCAGACUCCCAUAUAACCUUCCCACUUGCCCACCAGCAAGCCCAACUUUUAUUGCUGGCAGUGACUUUCCUGCUAGCAGCCUCCAGAGUUUGCAGGAAUCCCUCUGAUUGUGGUAAGUGCCAGGGAACUAGAAGCCAGGGAGGCUGACCAGAGGCUGCCCCUCUGAGCUUAUGGGCUCACCUCAUGACAUAGCCCAGGCCCCAGGCCUGGUCCCUGUAGAGCCCGGGGGUUACAUCAGGCCUCCUUCCCAGGUGGUCAGCCGUGAACCCGAUUCAAGGUCUGGAAAGAUCUGGCAGAAAUUGUUCUGAAUGAGGAGCCAGGCUGUAGACAGAGCAGUUGUGUGUGCUCAGCAGACACAGAAAAUGACAUUCUUGGGUUCUUGAUGCUCCCAAGGUUUUAGGGAGAGAAAAUUUGUUAACUAUGUGUCAGGAGAAGUCACUUUGGAACAAAUUAUCUCGGCCAUGGAUUGAAGGCAGAAGGAAGCUCAGGAUUUUCCUCAGGGAGAAUUUAGCAAGAAAUGGUGCUGGGUUGGCUGGCCCAGGGGACUCUGAAUCUCUCUUGGGAAACUAUUUCAGAAGAGAGAGGUAAAGGACUUUGUUGUACCCCCGGCAUGGGAGAAACUGUCACGGAGGGCACCAGAGCCUGCUCCGGAAACCUCUCCAUCCCUCUUUCCCUCACUGUGAAGGCAUAGGAGCACACAUUGGAGCAAUGACCCCGUGCAGGGAGCACACACCUGGAGCUGCUGGCCCAGUGUUAUCUGCCAAGUGCCAGGGGAGUCUGAUUUCAAUGUUCUGAAGGAUUCCAACCCUAAGGAGGCCUCACUCUGCACGGAGAUGACGGGCAGGGGCCAGCCAGGUGGGGGAUGGCGACAUAAGGCAGAUGUGGGCCCUCAAGCGUGUGGAACAGAGCCUCCUCUUUCCCCGUGGAUUCUCUCUCUGCAGUUUCACUUACCUGUGGUCAGCUGCAGCCUGAAACUAUUAAAUGGAAAACUCCAGAAUAAACAAUUCACAUAUUUUACAUAACUUUUGUAACAGUAUUCAGAAGUAAUAUAGAGUAUUACAGAAACUCUUGGAGGCUGAGGCAGGAGGGUGGCGAGUGUGGGGUGUCAUACUGAGGUUUCAGGCACCCACUGGGGGUCUUGGGAUGGUGGAUCCCCACAGAGAAUGGGGACGGCUGUGUAUGCAAAUAUAUAUUCACAUCACUGCCUCUGCCCAGUAAGCCCCGUGAUAUUAGUCAGCAGAGGCUCGGAUUUGGACCCUAACAGAACUGGAUGAGUCCUUGCUCUAGCUUGCAGUCACUUUACAAACCACAGCCAUUUGACUUGACUCUGAGCUGACCCUGCUUGUCUACCAAGCAGGGCAGCAAUGCCAGCCUCAAGGGUCCUGAUGGUGGGUGAGGAGGGCACUCAUGGAAAAGGAAGGGCCAGGGGCUGAGAGGCAGGUCUUGUUCCUGACACGGUGACCACCAGUCUGACGGUUGUACCCAGGUCACCACCUCCAGGAAGGCCCCUUGGCACCAUUCCACUGCUGCAUGGGACCCCCAGUUCCUGAGCCCCAUGUGUCUCUUGUCUAGCUCAGACCACCUUGUGAUGUUCAUUUCCCUGUCCUGUGUCACCACCCGAGAUGCUGACCCAGAAUCAUCACUCCUGAAGACAGGCCGGUGCUCCCUCACGUGACCCUCUGUCCCUGGGCCGUCUGCCCUCACAGAAGGCCUCUGCCAGCUCCCUGGGCACUUUGAACUUGAGCACGAAGCAGCUAGGUGCGUGCAGGGCUGAGUGGGAGCGGGUGUGUGGGUGUGUGUGUGUGCUAGUGUGCCACCAGGUCUUGGUGCUCACUAAAGGGAGGAACUGGACCACAGUCCCGAGCCCCUGGAAGGGACAGGGCAUGUUUGACAAAGAUUUCCUAGUCUGGCAAAGUGGGGGAAAAAAUGCCAUAGUGGAGAGUAAUGUAGAAAGCUCCAUCUAGGUGAUUUAAAGAAAUCCUGCCAGCCAGGGCAGGGGUGACAGCCUGUGAUCCCAGCGCUUUGGGAAGCCGAGGCAGGAGGAUCACAAGUUUGAGCCCAACUUGGGCAAGGUAGUAGCCUCGCAAAACCCUGUCUCAAAAUUAAAAAAGGCAGGGAUGUAGCCCAGUGCUGAAGGCCUCAGGUUCAAGCCCCAGUACUGCAACAAAAAGAAAGCAAGAAAAAAGAACAAACUACCCAUUUCUCCCUGAGAUGAGGCCUUCAUAUUUUUUUACUAUUGAAACACCUCUUCUUGGCGGAAGUUUCUUAAAUGAAGUGGCAGUAAAAGCUGAUAGGGAUUGGCUUGUUUCAAGUGGCCCCGCCAAGACAUUGGCAACCCGGAGCCAGUCUGCAAAGCUGUUCUUUUCCUUGUCAUAUUGGUCUGAAAGCCCAAGGCCCCCUUGGUGCCUGGUGCCCACCCUGCCCAGGUGAGCCUGUCGGCUGGCAGACACUGCACUGGGAAUGU